rnacentral:rRNA from 1 species
UGGGGAAUAUUGCACAAUGGGGGAAACCCUGAUGCACCGACGCCGCGUGAGCGAAGAAGGUUUUCGAAUCGUAAAGCUCUGUCCUAUGAGAAGAUAAUGACGGUAUCAUAGGAGGAAGCCCCGGCUAAAUAUGUGCCAGCAGCCGCGGUAAUACGUAGGUGGCAAGCGUUGGCCGGAAUUAUUGGGCGUAAAACGCGCGCAGGUGGUUUAGAAAGUCUGAUGGGAAAGCCCACGGCUCAACCGUGGAGGGUCAUUGGAAACGAAUGAACUUUAGUGCAGGGGAGAAAAGUGGAAUUCCUAGUGUAGCGGUGAAAUGCGUAGAGAUUAGGGGGAAAACCGGUGGGGAGAGGGGCUUUUUGGCCUGCAACUGACACUGAGGCGCGAAAGCGUGGGGAGCAAACAGG